AUGAACGCUAGCUACAGGCUUAACACAUGCAAGUCGAGGGGCAGCAUCAUCAAAGCUUGCUUUGAUGGAUGGCGACCGGCGCACGGGUGAGUAACACGUAUCCAACCUGCCGACAACACUGGGAUAGCCUUUCGAAAGAAAGAUUAAUACCGGAUGGCAUAGUUUUCCCGCAUGGGAUAAUUAUUAAAGAAUUUCGGUUGUCGAUGGGGAUGCGUUCCAUUAGGCAGUUGGCGGGGUAACGGCCCACCAAACCUACGAUGGAUAGGGGUUCUGAGAGGAAGGUCCCCCACAUUGGAACUGAGACACGGUCCAAACUCCUACGGGAGGCAGCAGUGAGGAAUAUUGGUCAAUGGACGAGAGUCUGAACCAGCCAAGUAGCGUGAAGGAUGACUGCCCUAUGGGUUGUAAACUUCUUUUAUACGGGAAUAAAGUGAGCCACGUGUGGCUUUUUGUAUGUACCGUAUGAAUAAGGAUCGGCUAACUCCGUGCCAGCAGCCGCGGUAAUACGGAGGAUCCGAGCGUUAUCCGGAUUUAUUGGGUUUAAAGGGAGCGUAGGCGGGUUGUUAAGUCAGUUGUGAAAGUUUGCGGCUCAACCGUAAAAUUGCAGUUGAUACUGGCGACCUUGAGUGCAACAGAGGUAGGCGGAAUUCGUGGUGUAGCGGUGAAAUGCUUAGAUAUCACGAAGAACUCCGAUUGCGAAGGCAGCUUACUGGAUUGUAACUGACGCUGAUGCUCGAAAGUGUGGGUAUCAAACAGGAUUAGAUACCCUGGUAGUCCACACAGUAAACGAUGAAUACUCGCUGUUGGCGAUAUACAGUCAGCGGCCAAGCGAAAGCAUUAAGUAUUCCACCUGGGGAGUACGCCGGCAACGGUGAAACUCAAAGGAAUUGACGGGGGCCCGCACAAGCGGAGGAACAUGUGGUUUAAUUCGAUGAUACGCGAGGAACCUUACCCGGGCUUAAAUUGCAACUGACGGAACCGGAAACGGUUCUUUCUUCGGACAGUUGUGAAGGUGCUGCAUGGUUGUCGUCAGCUCGUGCCGUGAGGUGUCGGCUUAAGUGCCAUAACGAGCGCAACCCUUACGGGUAGUUACCAUCAGGUUAUGCUGGGGACUCUACCCGGACUGCCGUCGUAAGAUGUGAGGAAGGUGGGGAUGACGUCAAAUCAGCACGGCCCUUACGUCCGGGGCUACACACGUGUUACAAUGGGGGGUACAGAAGGCAGCUACACGGCGACGUGGUGCUAAUCCCAAAAGCCUCUCUCAGUUCGGAUUGGAGUCUGCAACCCGACUCCAUGAAGCUGGAUUCGCUAGUAAUCGCGCAUCAGCCACGGCGCGGUGAAUACGUUCCCGGGCCUUGUGCACACCGCCCGUCAAGCCAUGAAAGCCGGGGGUACCUGAAGUACGUAACCGCGAGGAGCGUCCUAGGGUAAAACUGGUGAUUGGGGCU
rnacentral:rRNA from 1 species